rnacentral:lncRNA from 1 species
AUAUAUAUAUAUAAAAAGUCAUUUCUGUAGUGUUGCUUAGUGGUAACUAGCUUUCUUAUAUGACCAAGUUAUUUGUAAAUGCUUAUUUCUAAUCCUCCUAAGAUACAUUUAAAUUUCAAGUAUAAUUUCAAUGUCAGUAUAUCAUGAAGGAAAAUUGCUAGAAUUUGUAACCAUCAGUGAAGAAUGCAUUUUAAACAUUUUUUCUAAAUGACCAUUUUUUCCAGAAAUUAUACAAAAAUCAGGUUACAAGACUUAUUUUUUCUGACCAACUAGAUAUUAAAUCAAAUUCAGGUAUAGAAUAAUCAGAGUGAUUCUAGAGUAUGGUAUAUUGAUCCUGUUGGAGCAGCUGGCUGCUUUUCAGUCUUUUUUUCCCCCAGUGUUCAAGGUCGGAUUUAAUUUAUAUUGAAAGAAGCAAGCUUGGAAAACCCAUAAGAAGUCUGGAUUUAAUAAACUAAUAUCAAACUCAUCUGUUUGGCUAGUGAUAGCUAAUGUUAAAAAUGGAUCUUUUUCCAUAACUUCACAGAAUGCAUUUCCCAUUUUCCUCUAGGCCUCUUAAAUUGUAAAUCUCAAAAAAGAGAAAAGCAGAGUGAUACACUCCAAAUCAGUCCAAGUGAGGCAGAAUAAUAUACUAUGUGAUAAUACUUGGCAUGGUUAAUAAUAGCACAUGAGGAAGAGUAAACCUCAUCAAGAGGUGAUAGUACCAAGAAGAUGAAAUGCUAUAAGGAGUCCCUGCUAUAAUUGUAAUGAAAGAAAACCAAAGGGUUGGAUAAAAGAAAUUGUCUCACUUCCUAAAAAGCAUGAAUGAAGUUGUCUUCUGGUCCAAUUUGGAUUUAGCUGAAGAUUCUAACCUGAACGUUUUCUUCAGUCAGGACCUAAGGACACAUUUACCCUGAAUGUCAGAUCCCAGAAGAGAGGACAAAGUAAAGAGUAUGGCUGUGUCGACCAGGCUAGAAUGAAGUGGCACGAUCUUGGCUCACUGCAACCUCCACCUUCCGGAUUCAAGUGAUUCUCCUGUCUCAGCCUCCCAAGUAGCUGGGAUUACAGAAAGUUACUGGAGGAUGUGUUCCACCAAAACAAUGGAAUGAAUCACAGGAAUGAGGAUCUAAUAAAGGAGAGAAGUUAAGGGAUUCCAAUGAUUACAAUGAUGAGAAAUCCCAUGGGAAUUUCAGCUCCAUCAAUCCAGGUAGGAGAAGGAUGAAGGUUUCCUCUAAGAGAGUCAUCUCCAAGACAAAAGACAAAGAAAUUGCUGGAUGUGACUGACCCCAUUGGUUGAAGUUUUACAGCUUAUCCCAAAGAAUUAAAAUGUAGUGGUGGCACAUAGAAAACUAAGCAACUGAAUAAAGAAUUUAAUGAUAGUUUAGUACACAGUAAAUAAAUUUAAAAGGCAAUUAUUAAUUCCAGGAAAAGCAGAAAACAUACAAGAAAGGAAACUGAAUUAUGGUAGAUUACUUAGCUUAACAAUAAAUAUUAUUUAUACAACCACAAUCAUGCAAACACUAUUAAUCUAACUAAAAUUGUGACACACAUGCAGAGGAUUGGCGAUGGUAUGUUUGUGAGUGUGAAUGUGUGUAUGUAUGUGUGUGUGUGUUGGGGGGGGGAGAGAGACAGAGAGAGAGAGAUAGAGAAACAGAAAGACAGAGAGAGAAAAGAGACUUCUGCCAAUCUACCAUCUUCCUUGGUAGGCAGUCAACUAAUAGGUAAUGGACUAUGUUGGUUACCCAACCAUUCAUAAUUCUUGCUCAUGGGGCCUAAAUUUUGUUUAAGUUUCCAAAUCAAACUGUCUCCUGUGUGAUUCAGAGAGAGCUGACAUCAUCUACAGCUCUAGGGAUAGAUAUGAAGCUAAACAUGAAUGGCAAUCAUUUUCCUCUGGCACGAUUGGUUUAAAAAUGGCCACAUGACCUAAUUCUGGCCAGUGACACAAGGGGAUGUCUUCUAGGCAGUUUCUGGGUAAAGACAGAAAUAUCAGCACUUCUUUUUCUUUUUCUGGGUAACUUCCUGUCAACAUAAUGCCCAGGACUUCUGCAAACAUGUUGUUACCAGUACAAGAACCAUAGGAGGGCAGGCCAAUAACAUCAGAGAGAAAGAGAGGCAGAGACCUAAUAGACUGUGCCUGGGGACUUCCCUGUCUCUGGACAACUUCAUAUGUGCAAUAAUAAGUUUUAUUUAAUUUCAGCCAAAUCAAGAGGCUAAGAAACAGCCCAGGGUUUCAUAGAUGAUAAGUGGCAAAAUCAGGAUUGGAACCCAGAUUGGCCUGAGUCAAAGACUUGAGGUCAACAUAAUUUCAUACUGUCAUUGUUGAGCAGUCUUUAAAGCAUCCUCUUAAAAAUGGAAAUCAAAUUUGUGAUAGAGAAAGAAAUUAGUGCGUGUGAAAGUGAGGGGAUGUGCCCUAUUGUCAACAAUAAAGACUACAAAUAAACUCUAGUAACUUACCUUCUAUUGUUUUAUUCUCACAAUAAAAGUGGUAUUUUUGGUUUUAGGUGGCUGCAAUGUCAAAAUUGAUUAGUUUCUUGACUAUGAAAUAAUUAUGUAACUUUAAUUACUUAAUUAUAGACCAUUGUCAAAUACACCUUAGCGAUAUCAACAACAAAUGACAACAAACUAUUACCUUAAAAAGAUAAUUCAAAUUAUUAUUUUAUCUGGGACACUAUAAUAUAUUCAAAAUAAUCCAGUUUCCCAAAUUCAGAAAAUUUAUUUUUUCUUUAAUAUGUUUUAAUUUUGAUAUAUUACAGACUAAAUCAAGUUAUAACAAUUUAAUUUAUUAUUUAGCAGAGUGAUUUGCUUUUGUAUGUAGGUAUUCAAAGAGAAAGCAGGAUCUAAUUCAUUUUGAAAGCUGAAAGACAAAGAGCAGUGUCUGGAAUGUGGUCCCUGCACUAAAACUAUUUGUUGAAUGAAAAACUGUGCAUCUACUUUAAGAAAAUCAUAAGUGGAAUAAAGAUAAAAUGAGAUUUUUGACUUUUGGGAUUGAUUUUGGCCAAAUUUGCUGUGUGGCUACUAAUUGUAUCAUUUAUUUAUUUUGAUUUAGGCAAUAAAUUAUAAUUAUUGAAAAACUGAAGAAUUCAAAGAAGGCAUUAAAGUAGUUGAUUUGAUAAUAUUUCUCAUUUCUUGAAAUUUAAAAUGUUUAAGGAAAAAAUUUUUAUUUAAUAACUUGUUCAAAUAAGUAUUUGUCUUUUAUUAUAGCUAAAACCUUUUUUGGUAAAUACUGAUAAUCCUUUGCACUUAAAUAAUGUUUUUAGGAUAAAAUUGGUGUCAAUAGUCUCUGAAUUCCAAUUUUUAAGAACCAUAUUAACAGCUGGAAAAAAAAAAAAGAGGGCCCACAGACAUUAACAAAGUAACACUGCAACAGUAAUUAAGAAAAAUACUGUGGUUGAAGUAAAAGAUAAUUAGAGGGCAGUAACCAAAUGGUUACCUUUCAAUAUCAGAGUGGUGUGAUGUAAUGUUAGAGAACUUUGCAAAAUAAGAUGUCUGCAGGGAGUUCACCGACCAUUUCACAUGCAUUCAGCAAAUGGGCUGCAUGAUCAUUAUAGUGAUCUUCAAAAAGGAUGAAGUGGCUCUGUGCAUUGUGAUCUGUGUCUAUAAUACAGAAAAUUAUACCUGAUGUAAACCAUCCCUUUUAGAAACCUGUAAUGAAAAAAUACUCUUAAAGAAGACAACACUUAUAAUUCUAAGGUGCUGCAGUGAGACUGGGCAUGGUGUGGCACACUGGCCAAUGCCAUGCUUUUCUCUAUUGGUAUAUGCUUUAAAGUAAAUUCUCCUUACUUUCAGUUCUAUUGCAAAAAUGUUUCCUUUUUUGGAAAAAAAAAGCCACAUAAUGCAUUACCCAGAUUUUAAGAAUGGCAGAUUAGGAAUACCAUUUGUACUUUUAUGCCAUAUUUCUGAAGGAUAUCCACUUCCCUAAGACCAAAGUUUUAUAAUUUUCUAUGAUUUUAUGCUCUCUGUUCUUUAUAUAACAUCUAAUAUUAGAGUUAUUUACAUCUUUAACAAAAUAACAUCUAACAUUAGAGUUUUACAACUGUUUCUAUUACAUAAUAGAUCUCAAUAUUUUCUUAGGUAGACUAUACUUCAUUUCAAGAUAGCAUCCUUAGAGAUCUCACCAAGUAGAAUUAUAAUACAAUUAUUUAACUGAAAGUUUCUGGUUGAAUCAAACACUUGUAAUCAAUGUAUGUUAAUCUCAUGUCCGUCAUAAAAAGCUCUGCCAGAAUAGGGAUGAUCAGAACCAGCAGACUAAGAGCCAUGGGAAAGACAGGUAAAGAAAUACCUAAUAGCAGAUGGUAAGACAAUGCAGGCAGGAGGCCUUGAGGAGGUUCAGAGAUUCAAUUAAGUGACAGAACUCCAUUUUCUGGAAAACUUAGAAGAAGAUCAGGAAAGAUCUCAGUCUGAGAUGAAUUAGGCAAUCAGACAGGGAUCCAAAAUAGUGACUAAAAUACUUGAACCAAGGUAUAUAAGGGCAUGCUUAAUCAUAGAGGAAUAAAGUAACAAUAUCAUUAUCAGAAAUUGAGUAUAGCAUACAAUCAGAACUGACUUAGAAAGAUUCAAUUGCAUGCUGAGCCCAAGAAUUAUUGAUCAUAGACUCCUUGUGUUCUCAAUUCUUACGGAAAGGAUUGGUUUUAGAUUCUAGGGGUAGGACAAGAAGCCAGUCAAAAUUUAUGGGGGUCUAAAACAUUAGAGAUCUUUUUAAAAAAGAUUAUGUGAGUUACAAGUAUAAAAUAAAAUAAAGAAGUGAGUACUUAUUUAGAAUAAGAAAAGAAAGCCCAAUAAUUUAGAGAAUCCUUGGAGCUCAGGGCCCUUUUUUCUAAGAUUUCCCCAGGCCGUUUCCAAGAAGUGUUUUCUUAGUGAUUGUUCCUGAUUACAGCUUGGCUUCCCUUCCAGCCUAGCAUAUCGUACAACUCCCAGACACUCCUAGCACUUACAGGGGCCUUUGCAAGUGAGGGGCAUUGACAUUUAAGCUUCAAUAGUUUCAGGGUAAAUCUGCCUCUGGGCAGAGCAGAUGUCAGAGAAAGGAGCUAAAUGGUCCCGAGAAGCAGGAGAAUGAGAGAUUAUAAGGGCAGAGAGUCAGUUAAAAAAAAAAAAAAAUCAUUAGAAACUACUGUUGAACAAGAAAAUGUUGACUAUACACGGUGAUUAAUCAUAAUUAAUGCUAAUCUGGUGUUACCUAUGCCAACACGUAGGUCAUCGUGUGGAACUUUGGUCAAACAUAUUUGGAAGACUGAAUGUGAAUGCCACAGUGAUUGCUGACCCUGAAGGAUGAUUCACGGCCUAGACAGUUCUGCCCAAUCAUUUUGACUAGUCACAAACAUCUGCUAGAAUCAUCUUCAAAAUACUUGUGUUUGCUGGCAUUCUUUCCUAUCCUGGCAUGCUCUUCUUACUUUGAACUUGGCUGAGCUUAGUUUUACAUCUGACAUCAUUUUGCUAGGUACAAGGGUUUCACAACUCAUAUCCACAGAAAGAAGAUUCCAGAUAAGCACACUAAGAUGACUAAAACGUAGAAUUAGUGUUAUUUAAAAAAUAUACUUUAAAGUGUCCUUAUCUUCUCUUGAAGACAAAUAAGAAAUGAAAGAAAUAAAACACCUCAGAAAAUAAACCAUGCUCAUUUUCCCUGUGAUAAAUUACUGUUUUUGUUGCACGAGGAAACCUGUUUUACUUUUGUGUUAAGCAGGUCAUUUAUUGUUUAAGUCUAGCUCCUAGGAAAUUCUUCCCUUUACUAUUUUUGUUUGGUUCUUUUUAUUUUUAACUUCUUAAAAUGUAGUUGGUCUCAUAUAGGCUUUGUUUGAAAGGACGUUCAGCCUUGAAAAAGUCACCUGGUAAAUCAUUCCUGUCAAAUUACAGCUUAAAGAAUUAAAAGGGAAAACUGCUGGGGCCCACGGACUAUACUGCAAACCUCUCAUAUAUAAAGGGGAGCUUCAGAUUUGUGGCAACUUGAUCAUCCUAAAAUUAGAGAGGUCAUCCCCUGACAUCUGCAGCAGAGACCUGAUUUAGAAUGAAGAGUCACAGCACAAAAGUUCUGCUUCAUGGUAUUCUCUAAGCCCUCAUCUCCAGUUUAUAUCUUAUAUUCACUGUAGUUUCUACUCCCAUCUAAGUUCUGAUCUUAAACUUGUGUUUCCCAAUGCUAUAAUCAAUGACCUCUCUGAGGCUUCCUCCUAUUCCCCAGUCUCUCUUCUGUAAUACUUUUCCUAUUUAUCUGACUUUAACAGUCUCCUUUGCUGAUUUCUUUUUUCCUCUUUCCUCAAAAGGGUCCGCCCUCUCUGAGUUUCAGCUCUUGGAUGUCUGGUGGUUUUUCUUUGUCCUCUAAUUCAUUUAACAUCCCCCUUCCUCUGUACCUCCAGGGUUAUUCCGCGAAUUCCCAAAGCUUUACUUCUUAUUCACUCCACAAAUAUUCAUUGAAUAAAUAUUCGUUGACUCCUUUUUCUCUCCUACGCCCACAUUCAGACAUCAAAUUUUGUUGACUCUACAUUCAAAUCUAUCUGGAAAUUGACCUUCAUUUACUGCUACUGACUUGCUUAAAGCCUCCGUCAUCUCUCUCCUGGACCACUGCAUUAGCUUUCAAGUUGGUCUACAGGUCUACAGACUUUCUGUUUUAUUUCUCCACUCACUCUCCCUUAUCUUCCUCUAAUGUGGCAGCUGUGGACUCUGUGAUCCUUUUUAAAUCCUACUUCAGAUCAUGUCACUGCUCUGCUUAGAACCAUCCAAAUGGCUUUUCAAUUCAUCCAGGGUAAAGGACAAAGCUGUUACUAGGUUCUACCCUUAUCACACUGUCUGUUUAUCUGCUUGCCUCCGCCCUGCUUGUUACCUUCUCAGGCUUCAUCUCCUACUAUUCUUAUGCACAGUCACUGAACAUUCAAUUGCCCUCUUGCUUCCUCACAACACUCCAGGUAUUUCUGGUCUCACAGUCCUUGCACUUCCUGUUUCUUCUGCCUGGAACACAGGUCCCCUGUACAUCCUGGCCCCCUCUUUUUCUCACCACUUUCAGGUCUUUGCUCAAGAAUCGUCUUCUCAGUGGGGCUUUCCCAGGAUCCCUUACUAAGGUUUUGGUAUACCUCCCCUCCUUAUUGGUCCUUCCCAGUUACCUUUCCUGAUUUACUUUCUCUCUACCACUUAUUACCUUAUAUGUUUAUCUCUGUUUCACCUGAAACUAAAGCACAGUAGAUUUUUGUUUUUUCUGUCACUAAUAAAUUUGUUUUUACCAAUAUCUAUCUAGAACAAUGCCUGAGAUAUAGUAGUCAUGGAAUAUUUUUUGAAUGAAUCAAUGAAUAAACAAAUGUGCUACUAUGGUACUUACUCUUU